GGUCCAAAUUCGAAGUAGAGUAGACUAGUAGGAUCAACUGACCCUGGUAAACUACUCUACUUCGAGUUUGUGCCC
rfam:Haemonchus placei strain MHpl1 genome assembly, scaffold: HPLM_scaffold0002063